rnacentral:rRNA from 1 species
CCUACGGGAGACAGCAGUAGGGAAUCUUUCACAAUGGGCGAAAGCCUGAUGGAGCAACGCCGCGUGCAGGAUGAAGGCCUUCGGGUUGUAAACUGCUUUUAUAAGCGAGAAAUAUGAUGGUAACUUAUGAAUAAGGAUCGGCUAACUACGUGCCAGCAGCCGCGGUCAUACGUAGGAUCCGAGCAUUAUCCGGGGUGACUGGGUGUAAAGAGUUGCGUAGGUGGCAUAAUAAGUAGCUAGUGAAAUCUGGUGGCUCAACCAUUCAGACUAUUAGCUAAACUGUUAAGCUCGAGACCGUUAGGGGUAAGUGGAAUUUCUAGUGUAGGAGUGAAAUCCGUAGAUAUUAGAAGGAACACCAAUAGCGUAGGCAGGUUGCUGGGACGGUUCUGACACUAAGGCACGAAAGCGUAGGGAGCAAACGGGAUUAGAUACCCUUGUAGUC